UACAUAUACGUUUGUAUUCUGUACAAAGCACAGAGAAGCUUAGCAUGGCCCCUUCACAAGGAUGACAUGCAACUUCAUGAAGCAUUCCAUAUUUUC
rnacentral:snRNA from 1 species